rnacentral:rRNA from 2 species
GCCGGCGGUGUGCCUAAUACAUGCAAGUCGAACGCGUUGGCCCAAUUGAUUGAUGGUGCUUGCACCUGAUUGAUUUUGGUCGCCAACGAGUGGCGGACGGGUGAGUAACACGUAGGUAACCUGCCCAGAAGCGGGGGACAACAUUUGGAAACAGAUGCUAAUACCGCAUAACAGCGUUGUUCGCAUGAACAACGCUUAAAAGAUGGCUUCUCGCUAUCACUUCUGGAUGGACCUGCGGUGCAUUAGCUUGUUGGUGGGGUAACGGCCUACCAAGGCGAUGAUGCAUAGCCGAGUUGAGAGACUGAUCGGCCACAAUGGGACUGAGACACGGCCCAUACUCCUACGGGAGGCAGCAGUAGGGAAUCUUCCACAAUGGGCGCAAGCCUGAUGGAGCAACACCGCGUGAGUGAAGAAGGGUUUCGGCUCGUAAAGCUCUGUUGUUAAAGAAGAACACGUAUGAGAGUAACUGUUCAUACGUUGACGGUAUUUAACCAGAAAGUCACGGCUAACUACGUGCCAGCAGCCGCGGUAAUACGUAGGUGGCAAGCGUUAUCCGGAUUUAUUGGGCGUAAAGAGAGUGCAGGCGGUUUUCUAAGUCUGAUGUGAAAGCCUUCGGCUUAACCGGAGAAGUGCAUCGGAAACUGGAUAACUUGAGUGCAGAAGAGGGUAGUGGAACUCCAUGUGUAGCGGUGGAAUGCGUAGAUAUAUGGAAGAACACCAGUGGCGAAGGCGGCUACCUGGUCUGCAACUGACGCUGAGACUCGAAAGCAUGGGUAGCGAACAGGAUUAGAUACCCUGGUAGUCCAUGCCGUAAACGAUGAGUGCUAGGUGUUGGAGGGUUUCCGCCCUUCAGUGCCGGAGCUAACGCAUUAAGCACUCCGCCUGGGGAGUACGACCGCAAGGUUGAAACUCAAAGGAAUUGACGGGGGCCCGCACAAGCGGUGGAGCAUGUGGUUUAAUUCGAAGCUACGCGAAGAACCUUACCAGGUCUUGACAUCUUGCGCCAACCCUAGAGAUAGGGCGUUUCCUUCGGGAACGCAAUGACAGGUGGUGCAUGGUCGUCGUCAGCUCGUGUCGUGAGAUGUUGGGUUAAGUCCCGCAACGAGCGCAACCCUUGUUACUAGUUGCCAGCAUUAAGUUGGGCACUCUAGUGAGACUGCCGGUGACAAACCGGAGGAAGGUGGGGACGACGUCAGAUCAUCAUGCCCCUUAUGACCUGGGCUACACACGUGCUACAAUGGACGGUACAACGAGUCGCGAACUCGCGAGGGCAAGCAAAUCUCUUAAAACCGUUCUCAGUUCGGACUGCAGGCUGCAACUCGCCUGCACGAAGUCGGAAUCGCUAGUAAUCGCGGAUCAGCAUGCCGCGGUGAAUACGUUCCCGGGCCUUGUACACACCGCCCGUCACACCAUGAGAGUUUGUAACACCCAAAGUCGGUGGGGUAACCUUUUAGGAGCCAGCCGCCUAAGGUGGACAGA